rnacentral:tRNA from 1 species
GUCACUUUGCCGGAGUGGUUAACGGGAUCGCCUGCUAUCCAGCAUUCUAGCGGUUGUGCUUUGCACGCGAGUGUUCGAAUCGCUCAGGUGACG